GCGGGCAUAGUUUAGUGGCAUGACACGACCUUCCCAAGGUUGAGACGGGGGUUCGAUUCCCCCUGCCCGCACCC
rnacentral:tRNA from 1 species